AACACCCGGUGUUUGAGCUAUCGCUAUUUGAAUACAACCGUAUGCGUAUCGAGGCGACGAGGCUUAUAAAAUUGAUUAACCUGUUCUGACUAAUUUCAACAUCUUCAUAAAGAGGAAUUCCGUGAUUUCUUGUAUGCAGUACCCUGUGAACCUUUCGUAUUACUGUAAACAUGCAUGUUUGCUGGCUGAUUGUACAGAGCUCGCGAGAACCCCGCGUGCGCGAUGACAGUAUGAGCCCGAUAGGAAUGGUGAUCUUGGUUUUCAAAUUACUAACCGAAACGUCAGUGCAGAUUCCCCACCGAGAACGUGCUGACAACCCCUGAAAUAUUUGGACUGGCCGUUAUAAUUUUCUCUAAAAGCUUGUCCGCCGUAGUAUAAAAAGCGUCCGGAAGUAAGCAGUGUGAGCAUUAAUUCGCACAUGAUAAUUAUUUUGUACAAUUGUACUGUCACUAAUUUAUACUUACCAGAAAAUGGAUCGCCAUUCACACAAUUACCAAACCCUGCUGAAGACGGUUUAUAGAGAAGCGCCUGGAGAACCGGAAGAAGGUCAGUUGGCCGUGGCCUGGGUGAUCAAGAAUCGUGCCGAUAAAAACCGCGCUUACUGGGGCGGAAACAGUAUCGCCGCGGUGUGUCGUCAUCCGGGACAAUUUGAGUGCUGGAACCCUGGUGACAUUUCGAUGCAUGAACACGGCGCCGGUGCCAAUAUUGAGCGCUGGUUGGAUCGUUUCUACGAGCGCCCGGAUCCCACCGGCGGGGCGGACCAUUUCCACAAUCCGGAUAAGGAAGGCUUUCCCGGCUGGACUAACAACUGUCGCUGGGGUGUCAAGAUUGGUAACCAUCAAUUCUACCAUAGGCCGUAAAUAUGUUUGUGGCCCCUUGUACGUGAACCACGGAUUUAACUGUGUGAUUUCACUGAUUUGGAAUAAAUGUGAGUGUAGACAUUGCAGCGAACAAAAAGCAGUAAUUCCUACUGAUUCAACAGGCACUACGUACUGAUUUAAUAAUUCAUUCCUACGGUGAUGUAUUAAAUAUUUAGAAUUCAUUCCAUGGGUUUUCUUUCGUGAAUAUCGAAUAGAGUGUGGGAUUAUGGCAUCAUUAUGUUAUCCUCGGAAUUAACAUCAACGUAAAUCCGUUAGGUUUUGCUUGAGUUUUCGUUAUUGAACACGAAAAUUAUAAACUGAA